UGGGACUACAGGCACACGUCAAAACGCCCGGCUAAUUUUUGUAUUUUUAGUAGAGAUGGAGUUUUGCCAUAUUGGUCAGGCUGGUCUCGAACUCCUGACCUCAGGUGAUCUGACAGCCUCGUCCUCUCAAAGCACUGGGAUUACAGGCAUGAGCCCCUUGCCCGGCCUCUCACUACAUUUAAGUGACGCCAUGGCUCAUGCCUGUAAUCCUAGCACUUUGGGAGGCCAAGGCAGGUGGAUCACCUGAGGUCAGGAGUUCGACACGAGCCUGGCCAACAUGGGGAAACCCCGUCUCUAGUAAAAAUACAAAAAUUAGUCAGGUGUGGUGGUACAAGCCUGUAGGCCCAGCUACUUGGAAGACUGAGGCAGGAGAAUCACUUUAAGCGGGAGGCAGAGGUUGCAGUGAGCCAAUAUCAUGCCACUGCACU
rnacentral:lncRNA from 1 species